CUGCCAGCUGUGGGUGUGGCACGAUGGGUGUGGUAAAACUGGGCAUGGGACAGGGGGGAGAUCGCUGGGCAGGGUAGUGACAGCUGGGGUGUGGCAUUGUCCUGUAUGUCACUGUAACACUGUCACUGUCACUGACACUGUCAUUGUCACUGUCACUGACACUGCUCCGUCAGCGUCACCAUGACACUGUCACUGUCACUGCCCCCUCAGCCUUACACUGUCAUUAUCAUUGUCAUUGUCACUGUCACUGUCACAGCCCCUCAGUGUCACUGUCACUGUCACUGUCACUGUCACUGUCACUGUCAUAGCUCCCUCAGCCCCAUAGUGACACUGUCACUGUCACUGCUCCCUCACCCUCACACUGUCACUGUCACUGUCACUGUCACUGUCACUGCCCCCUCAGUGUCACCGUGACACUGUCACUGUCAUUGUCACCAUCACUGUCACUGUCACUGUCACUGCCCCCUCAGCGUCACCGUGACACUGUCAUUGUCACUGUCACUGUCACCAUCACUGUCACUGUCACCAUCACUGCCCCCUCAGCCUCACACUGUCACUGUCAUUGUCACCGUCACUGUCACUGUCACUGUCCCCUCAGUGUCACACUGUCACUGUCACAGCCCCUCAGCCUUACACUGUCACUGUCACUGACACUGUCACUGCCACCUCAGCCUCACCGUGACAUUGUCACAGCUCCCUCAGUGUCACACUGUCACUGUCACUGCUCCCUCAGCGUCACCGUGACACUGUCACUGUCACUGUCACCAUCACUGUCACUGUCCCUGUCACUGCUCCCUCAGCCCCUCAGUGACACUGUCAUUGUCAUUGUCACUGUCACCAUCACUGUCACAGCUCCCUCAGCCUCACACUGUCACUGUCACUGUCACAGCCCCUCAUUCUCACUGUGACACUGUCACUGUCACUGUCACUGUCACUGUCACUGCCACCUCAGCCUCACCGUGACACUGUCAUUGUCACUGUCACUGUCAUUGUCACUGUCACUGUCACUGUCACCAUCACUGUCACUGCCCCCUCAGCCUCACACUGUCACUGUCAUUGUCACUGUCACUGUCACUGCUCCCUCAGGCUCACAGUCACUGUCACUGUCACUGUCACUGUCACCAUUACUGUCACUGUCACUGUCACAGCCCCUCAGUGUCACAGUGUCACUGUCACUGUCACCGUCACCGUCACUGCCCCCUCAGUCUUACACUGUCACUGUCACUGUCACUGCUCCCUCAGUGUCACACUGUCACUGUCACCAUCACUGUCACUGUCACAGCCCCUCAGUGUCACACUGUCAUUGUCACUGUCACUGUCACAGCCCCUCAGUGUCACUGUGACACUGUCACCAUCACUGUCACUGUCACUGUCACCAUCACUGCACCCUCAGCCUUACACUGUCACUGUCACUGUCAUUGUCACUAACCCCUCAGCCUCACACUGUCAUUGUCACUGCUCCCUCAGCCUCACACUGUCACUGUCACUGUCACUGUCAUUGUCACUGUCACCAUCACUGU
rnacentral:lncRNA from 1 species